UCAAGCAAUGGAACACAAAAAGGCCCAAUUUCUUCUAAAAACAAAAGAAAUCAAUCUGCUCACACAAAAAUGUGUGGAUAACAUUGUAGAAGAUUCCACUGAACUUGUCCACGGAACAGUCAAAGCAAUUAAACACGCAACCCAGACGAAUUAAACUUGGACACAGAGUUGUGAAAAGACGUUCAAGGACUGUGUACAAAGAGGUUAUUAAAGAUGACGAAAUCAUGUACAUACCACUGCUGAAAUCCUUGGAAAAAAUGCUCAAUGUAAAAGGAGUACUUGAACAGCUAAACCAUGGUCAUCUUCGGCAACAUAAACAUGAC